rnacentral:lncRNA from 1 species
CUUAGAAGAGUAUCUUGCAAAAAGCAUCAUCAACUUCCUUUCCUUCCUAAAAAUACAUUGGGAAAAAUUCAAGGAUGGCAUGCCAAGUGAUGCCUUAGUAGGAGAGCCAAGCCACUUAGAAAUAAAUUUUAUCUUCUCCCCGUCUAUGCCCAUAUUAACUGUCUUUGAACCCAUCUCUUAACCCAUCCUUGACCCAAUAAAUCUUUUAUGCUCCUUCUACUAAAACUUCUUAAUGACCUUAGAAAUCCAUCAAGACAUGCUAAGAAUAGGAGUCAUGAAGAUUAUAGGAAUACCUAAGAAGAGCAACAACAAUAGUAGGAACGCGUAGAACAUAUUAGACAUACAUAGGCUAUUGUCAAAGAAUGGAUGGAAGAAGAUGAAGUUUUAGCACUAGCAUCUAAACUUGUUCUAAAUUCAAAUGUUAAGCUUAAAUCAAUUUUUUUGAUAAACAAAACUCACCCAAGUUUAGAGAAAGCCUUAGACGAGACCAACCUUAGGGACAUCAAUUCAUGGGAAAUCCUAGAAAAUAAAAUAUCUAAUAAAUGUCAUAGGCAUGAAAUAAUAGAGGCAAACUUAUUGCCUAUAGACAACCAUGAAGAGACACCCUUGGAGUUUGAAAAGGGAGAUCAUAUUGUCGAGCAUGUGAAUUAUUUCAUUAAAAACCCUAUCAGACCCAUGCUCAUAUGAGAAAUAUCCUAGAGUAAUUAGUCUCUAAUAUUAUUAGACAUGAGAUCCUCAACCCCCGUAUUCUACCAAUUAAUAAAAUCAUAAAGAGGGUGGUUAUAGACACAUAUGUUUACCAUAAAUAUUGUAGAUCUUGUUGUGGUGAAUAAUACACUUAGAUCGGUGUUGCAAGGAAAACCACAUCUUGAAGGUUUCCCAAGUACAAGCUUAGUGUCCUAAAACAAGCACUAUUUAGACCAUGAUAUGAGUGUUCUUCUACUGUGUUACCCUUAUUAAUUGAGCAUAGAAUUAUAAUUAUGAAAAUAUUCCUUCAGGUAUUCUUGUCACUAACCCUCCAAGAUUAGAGUAAUAAGAUCGAAGGAGUGAUAAAUGCAAGGUAUGUCCAACCAAUCAUUAUGCAACAUUGAAUUACUUACAUCCAAUCUUGAUUUUUGAAAAAGUCUAGCUUGGAGAUACAUCUCCUGCAAUAUUGCUAUACUAUCUUGGUUGUCCCUACUUUUAAGAUAUGCUCAAUUUGCUACGAUUAUAGAGUCUAUUUUGUGUAGUCAUAAAAUACCGAAAAUAUGUGAGCACAUGAAGGUUCACAAUAGUAUCAUAAGAAAAUAUAAAAAAAUACCAAAAAUAUAUGGGCACAUGAAGGUCCAUGUCUUUAGAGUCUCCUGAGUCCAAUAGAAAUGAUUAAAAAACCAAACAAAAUAUGUAUCUAUAUAUUAAGGUGUGAUCAUAGAGUGUGUCUACAGUCAGUCUACUUUAGAGUCAAAUAAAAAUUAGAGAAUAUUAAAAAUUUUGUCUUGGAGAUGACGAAUAGUUGAUCUGCAGUAAUUCCUUUCAAGUGCCUAGUUUUCAACCAUGAAUUCUCCUGAGUUUUAGACAUGACCACUUUAAGAGUUUACUCUGAACCUAAAUUUUGUGGAGGCAUAUGUUUAAGCUGAGUCUAGGUAAUUGAUAUUAUACAUGAAGGUCUAAGUUGCUAUUUGUCUUAUUCCUAUCAUUACUAAGUUCUAGAGAUUUAUUUUCAAAAACCCAAAAUCUUACAUGAUGAUCUCUUAUAUGAUAAAGUUUAGAUUCCUACCAAAGCUAUAUAUGAUAAAUUUAGAGUUAGGGAAACCUUUGCACAUUCAUGCUUCUUGCUUUACAUUGAGUUUAGUCAACCUUUGGAGUAUACCUUAUGAGAGUCUUGUCAUGCUUUUAAAAUUAAGAUCACUUACGCACUCCACCCACACAUGCAUUACUCCUACUCUGGGACGUAAGCACAAUCAUUUUCACCUUCAUCCAGAUCCACCUUAAAAAUGUUCUUUCUCCUACACUAGGAGUAAACACCCAAAAAUAUACCCUAUAGGAUAGCCUCAAUUUAAUUGCUCUAAGUUCUUAACAUUAUCUCUCCGAUUAUUUAAUUCAAAGGAUGCAUGUGGCUAUGCAAAAUUAUUUAAAAAGAAAAAAAGAAAAAAAGAAAAAAAGGGAAGUAAAAGAUGGACAAGUGUCCCAAUAAUUAAAACAAUGGGUACAUCGAUGCCCGCCUCCCACAGUAAUGAAAAAAAUAGAAUAAAGAUAGCCCAUGUUUUCGUGUGAAAAGUUCAAAGGAGGGAGUAAUUUUCAAAGAGCAAAAGUAGAAUUAGGAUUAGCCACUAAAUACUAUAUAUACACCUAUCUACCAUAUUUCAUACACAUGCACAUCUUGAUUUGAUUAUACGCCUUGAUUCUCUAUGGAUCCAUUGUUUGACUUUGCAAUAUAUGAAAUGCAAGUAUGUUCAUCCUUGUUAUUGCCACUCCUAUAAGUUCCACUAUAUAUAUAUCCUUAGUUGUAGGAAGGCAUAACCUCAUUAAUGGCUCAGUGAAAUCCGUAAAUACUACAUAAUAAGAGACUUGAGGGUGUCAUACAAUUAAGCUCUGAGUUUUAUUUGAAAAACUUGCAAAACUCCAGAAUAUUGGUACUGUGAAGAAUUUGAGACAUAGUGCUUGACUUGAUUGUUUUAUCUUUCAAUUACUCAAGACUUAUGCAAAAGCUGUAAAGCUCCAUGGUUAAAGGUAAAAUGGGUAAGUCUGAAAGUUAGACCAGAGGACAAUUUAUGUUUAAAAGCAAGUGUACUUAAAAGAAUUGGAAGUAUUGUAGCAACUCCUGAUCCAUGUUUAUUAAUUAGGCUUGGGUCUAUGGACUGGCAAAAGGUAAGUUUGGGGAAAUUGUUGACGAUUGAUAACGUCAACUUUUAUUAGAACUUUAAACCCGAAGGAUAACAUGAAUACACAUUAGUAUAGGGUUUAAACUAACAAUUUUUAUGAGUUUUUGCAUAUUCUGUAUUUUCUAGGGUUUAUUUCAUAGAAAGCUGAAAAGGGGGAUUCUAGUGCAUAUUUACCACGAAAAUCAUUCGCGUCGGAAAACAUCACGAGAAGACUCAAGAAGGGUCUAGAAGACCCCCGAAGGAACGAGAGCCGUGGAGGAGGAAAGCUGGGGCCGACCGGCCGCACCCUAGGGCCAGUCGGCGCCCUAGUUUGCCCGAUGGCGGCCGCCUUGUGGAGUCUUCCUCCCACGCCUCCUUCGAAGCUAAGCAAAGUAUCCCUCUGUCGAUUUUAAGUCGGUUUGAUCCGAUGGUGCACACAAUAUGAAGACACAGAUCACUGACAUGGUGAUUCCUUGCCCCCUACUCCACCUCGGCCUAUAUAAUGACGGCCAACGCCCCCCCA